rnacentral:rRNA from 1 species
GAUGAACGCUGGCGGCGUUCCUAAUACAUGCAAGUCGAGCGAACGGACGAGAAGCUUGCUUCUCUGAUGUUAGCGGCGGACGGGUGAGUAACACGUGGAUAACCUACCUAUAAGACUGGGAUAACUUCGGGAAACCGGAGCUAAUACCGGAUAAUAUUUUGAACCGCAUGGUUCAAAAGUGAAAGACGGUCUUGCUGUCACUUAUAGAUGGAUCCGCGCUGCAUUAGCUAGUUGGUAAGGUAACGGCUUACCAAGGCAACGAUGCAUAGUCGACCUGAGAGGGUGAUCGGCCACACUGGAACUGAGACACGGUCCAGACUCCUACGGGAGGCAGCAGUAGGGAAUCUUCCGCAAUGGGCGAAAGCCUGACGGAGCAACGCCGCGUGAGUGAUGAAGGUCUUCGGAUCGUAAAACUCUGUUAUUAGGGAAGAACAUAUGUGUAAGUAACUGUGCACAUCUUGACGGUACCUAAUCAGAAAGCCACGGCUAACUACGUG